AUGGCGGAGCGUGGGUGGAUGUAUAGUGGUUGGACUCACAGUAAAUCAACUGAUGAGUGGCAUAAUAAGACAAAAGAAUUCAUAGAUUUUGCCUUCUCUAUGCCAAGUGUAGUCCAGAAUGGAAAGAUUAAGUGUCCAUGUGCUAAAUGUCGAAACUAUGAGAGCAAGAACAGGGAUGAUGUAGAGUUAGAUAUGUGUCAUUUUGGUUUCAAGCGGAAUUAUACUGUUUGGACUGCACAUGGUGAAGGGCAUGUUGAAAUUACAGACUAUGUAGAUGCUGCGGAGGCUGAUCGGAUGGACACUAUGUUGAAUGGUCUAGCUGCGCGUGCCCCCCAAAUUGAACAACAACCAAUAGCUUCAAAUUGUACUAUAAAGAUAUUGUGA
rnacentral:rRNA from 1 species